CUGGGACUACAGCUGCAUGCCAUCAUGCUCGGCUAUUUUUUCUAUUUUUUAUAGAGAUGGCGUUUUGCCAUGUUGCCCAGCUGGUCUUACAUUUCUUGUUAUAAAUCACAAUAUCCCAGCGCCCUUAGUGAGAGACAUGCAGUAAAUUCUAAGUUGGAGGAGACAAAACAUAUAGGACAGGAGUGUUCAAAAGUGACACUUAUGGCUAUAUCACCCCUCCUGGAGGACAGACAACUUUGGUACAAGUGAUGCUGCAUUAGUGUUCAGUAUGCUUAGGGACCUUUCGGAAAGCAAGAAGUUUCAGAGGAAUGUUUGCAAAAUGGGGAAGUUGGAUGGCUCAUGAAGCAAAAAUGAAAGGAAAGGUUUCAGUUUCCAUUCUAUGAUUUCAAAUCAGUCUCAGCUAUAUUUCUGCAUGGUCCUACCAUCUGGAAAGAGGCUUCUAGGAAACCAGGCACAAUUGUAAAGGGGUGAGUUUGCCUCUCUUGCUAUUUGUGGUAUUUUCCACGCUUCCUGAGUAGGCAGAACUUCUCAGCAUCUCAUACCUCCCCACCCUCUUCCUCUGGUACCCUCAGCAGAUGCCCUUUCCUCCCUGGUGGCUCUAAAAGCCAUCGAACAUGAGUGUCUCAUCUCCCUGAGACCAAACUCCCAAGCAUCCUUGCACACAUCUCCAUCUUCCCUCCUCCCUCAGUGAGCCCCUGUCUGUCCCCUUCUCAUGCUCUCUGAUCCCAUUCCUUUCUUCCUUUCAUAGAUACCUUGAUCCAUAUCUCCCAUUUCUCCCUCAGAUCAUUACUUCCUCCUUUUCUGGAUUCUUUCCCUCAACAUUCACAUUUG
rnacentral:lncRNA from 1 species